GGGGGUGUAGCUCAGUUGGGAGAGCGCUGCUUUCGCACGGCAGAGGUCGGCGGUUCAAAUCCGCUCACCUCCA
rnacentral:tRNA from 1 species